GGCAGGGUAGCUCAGGGGUAGAGCAGGAGACUCAUAAGCUCUUUGUCGGGAGUUCAAAUCUCCCCCCUGCUA
rnacentral:tRNA from 1 species